rnacentral:rRNA from 1 species
CCCUUAGAUGUCCUGGGCUGCACGCGCGCUACACUGAUGCAUUCAACGAGCCUAUCCUUGACCGACAGGUCCGGGUAAUCUUUGAAUCUGCAUCGUGACGGGGAUAGAUUAUUGCAAUUAUUAAUCUUCAACGAGGAAUGCCUAGUAGGCGCAAGUCAUCAGCUUGCGUCGAUUACGUCCCUGCCCUUUGUACACACCGCCCGUCGCUCCUACCGAUUGGGUGUGCUGGUGAAAUGUUCGGAUCGGCCGUUUGUCGCGGUUUCCGCGUCAUGUGGCUGAGAAGUUCAUUAAACCCGCCCACCUAGAGGAAGGAGAAGUCGUAACA